rnacentral:lncRNA from 1 species
AUUUUUGUCGUCCUUAUAUCUGAGGCCCCGAGUCACUGGCAAGACUAUUUUUCUACCGGGUAAAAAAAAAAAAAGCUGGGAGAAUAAAAUAAGUUUCUGUGGGCACUUGAGGAACAAAUGGGAAGAGUUGUGGUGACAAUGUGACAGAGCAACCCAAGGAAUAUUGGGGAAGAAACAAUCCUGAGUUCUUUGGCAGAUUUCUCUUAAAAAGGCACUUUUGGUGAGUUUACAGAAAAAAGCUUAUAACUACAGGUGAGUUAUUGUGGGGGGCAGUUUGAUGGUCAAUAGUGGCUCCCCUCUAGCUGAGACCCUAGUUAGUGCCACACUGCUCCUGACUCCAGAACUGGGGAGGAAAACCCUAAGUUACAUACAUCCUGACAAUGUUGACCAGUGUAAUAGGUCACAGGGGAAGGAGUGAUGCAAUUGUUGCUUCUUGUCUAAAUUAGGCUAUACAAGUUAAGACAGAGUAAAAGGGAGACAAACCAGCUUGUAGAGUUGUAGGGAGCUAACUGUUUGCUCGCUUGGUAAUGCCUCCAUUUACUUUUAUUAAGGUUUUCUGUGAAAUAUCAUGAGUUUCGUUACUUCUUUUAGCAUUUGGGAAAUUGUAGAGAGAUAUUAUCACCUUCUCUCAUCAUCCCUUUUACUCACCCAGAGCAGGAUACGAUAGAAUAAAAGAAUUCUAUAAACUCAUCUUCACAGCUCCUUAGCUCCAGAUAAUGUUGCCAGUUCAAAUGAAGAUGCGAAUGAGGAAGAUUAAAAAGUGUCAGCGCCUCUUGGUCAGAGAAGCCAGCAUCUUAACCACCCAAGGCAGAUGACAAGUGUUAAAUGGAUAGGCAACAGACUGUGGGAUCCUUUGUUUACCCAUGGGUCUAAGGAUGGAAGAUUCUGACAUACAUCUCUGCCUGCUUGCUAGUGACUACCAUGUGUGGGCACCAAGAGGAUUACAGUAUUAUCCUGCUAUUGUUUCUGCGUUGCAUCCACUUCAAUCUUCAGGAAAAUGAAAACAGAAACGGGCCCGGGAGAUUAUAAACAGGCUGUUGCCAUUGAAGUCUGCUCUUCUAAUGUUGUAGCCCAGGAUGCAGAAAUCUGCUGCAUAUGCAAAAUAAGAACCAAAACAAAAUGCAGAAUUAAAAAAACGAACAGAGGCCGUCCCCGCGGCAGAGUGGUUCAGUUCGCGCGCUCCACUUCGUUGGCCCAGGGUUUCGCCAGUUCGGAUCCCAGGCGCAGACAUGGCAUCGCUCGUCAGGCCACAUUGAGGUAGCGUCACACAUGCCACAACUAGAAGGACCCACAACUAAAAUGUGCAACUAUGUACUGGGGGGAUUUGAGGAGAAAAAGCAUAAAAACAAAAAAAGAUUGGCAACAGUUGUUAGCUCAAGUGCCAAUCUUUAAAAAAAUGGACAAAAAUGUUUAUUUCUCUUAAUAGCACAAGAAGGUGUUUUCAUGUAUCCACAUAGACAUACUCAUCCCAAAGGUACAACUCUCAUGUAAUUCAAACAAUAACAAAAGUUUCAUUUGCUUAAUAAAUGUCAUUUAAAGUAGGAUCA